UACGGGGGGAGCAAGCGUUGUUCGGAUUUACUGGGCGUAAAGGGCGCGUAGGCGGUCUGUCAAGUCCGGGGUGAAAGCCCCCAGCUCAACUGGGAAGUGCCUCGGAUACUGGCGGACUCGAGGGAGGCAGGGUCGUGGGAACUUCCGGUGGAGCGGUGAAAUGCGUUGAUAUCGGAAGGAACGCCGGUGGCGAAAGCGCACGACUGGUCCUCUUCUGACGCUGAGGCGCGAAAGCCAGGGAGCAAAGCGGG
rnacentral:rRNA from 1 species